rnacentral:rRNA from 1 species
GAUCAUGCUCAGAUUGAACGCUGGCGGCAGGCCUAACACAUGCAAGUCGAACGGUAACAGAAAGCAGCUUGCUGCUUUGCUGACGAGUGGCGGACGGGUGAGUAAUGUCUGGGAAACUGCCUGAUGGAGGGGGAUAACUACUGGAAACGGUAGCUAAUACCGCAUAACGUCGCAAGACCAAAGAGGGGGACCUUAGGGCCUCUUGCCAUCGGAUGUGCCCAGAUGGGAUUAG